UGAGGAAUAUUGGUCAAUGGACGCAAGUCUGAACCAGCCAUGCCGCGUGCAGGAAGACUGCCCUAUGGGUUGUAAACUGCUUUUAUUCGGGAAUAAACCCCUUCUCGUGAGGAGGGCUGAAGGUACCGAAUGAAUAAGCACCGGCUAACUCCGUGCCAGCAGCCGCGGUAAUACGGAGGGUGCAAGCGUUAUCCGGAAUCAUUGGGUUUAAAGGGUCCGCAGGCGGAAUAAUAAGUCAGUGGUGAAAUCU
rnacentral:rRNA from 1 species